GACGAACGCUGGCGGCGUGCCUAAUACAUGCAAGUAGAACGCUGAAGCGAGGAGCUUGCUCUUCUUGGAUGAGUUGCGAACGGGUGAGUAACGCGUAGGUAACCUGCCUGGUAGCGGGGGAUAACUAUUGGAAACGAUAGCUAAUACCGCAUAAAAUUGAUUAUUGCAUGAUAAUUAAUUGAAAGAUGCAACUGCAUCACUACCAGAUGGACCUGCGUUGUAUUAGCUAGUUGGUGAGGUAACGGCUCACCAAGGCGACGAUACAUAGCCGACCUGAGAGGGUGAGCGGCCACACUGGGACUGAGACACGGCCCAGACUCCUACGGGAGGCAGCAGUAGGGAAUCUUCGGCAAUGGGGGGAACCCUGACCGAGCAACGCCGCGUGAGUGAAGAAGGUUUUCGGAUCGUAAAGCUCUGUUGUAAGAGAAGAACGGGUGUGAGAGUGGAAAGUUCACACUGUGACGGUAUCUUACCAGAAAGGGACGGCUAACUACGUG
rnacentral:rRNA from 1 species